GUUGUUGGUUGUUUGUAUAGAUGAGCUCAACAAGGCACCGAAGGGCAGGCUAGAAUAUACGAGAAGCGGCAAGCAUGCCUUUUUUGUGGCAGUAUGGUUUCCAAGGCAGCCAGGCACAUGAAAGAUAUGCACGCUGAUGAGUCUGAGGUGAAACAUGCCAAGGCCAAGGAGCCCAAGUCAACUAACAGGCGACCUACUGUUGAAUUUGAGAGGCUCCGUUUGAAAGGGAAUUUCUACCAUAAAUAUGGAGGUGCUGUCAUCUGGUGUGGGUCAGAUCAUCGUUGCCAGAAAUCCUCCCUUCGGUCAAGAGGUCCAAUCUUCAGAUAACCUGCCAUGCCCAUUUUGCAUGUUCUGUCGGCAAUGGUCCAUCAUCAGAUAUCCAUGGUGACUCGACCUGGUACAGAUAAGGGGAAAGAGAGGUCGCGCAGUGCCUGUGCUUCUGACCAGUGGAAGUCUUGAUGGAAAACCGUGAAGCAGUUGGGGCGCAUAAUUCGAAUCCCUAUAUAUUUGCUCGCACCCGAAACUCCUUGAAACAAGUGAGAGGAUGGGAUUGCCUAACUGCUGUUGCCAAGCAGGCUAAUCUGCAAGAGCCUCCUGCAGAAACGAGCACAAAGCUGAGAAAGUAUGUUGCAACGGUGUCUCAGAUUAUUAGACCUAAACAGCAAUGCGCUCGACUGGCUAGCAAGGCACCUGUGCCACGACAUAACUGUCCACAGGGACUUCUACCGCCAACACGAGUCGACACUAGAGCUUGCGAAAGUCAGCAAGCUACUUCUUGCUGUAGACAAAGGCAAGAUAGCAAAACUGUCUGGCCGAAAACUUGAUGAUAUUGAUUUGGAAGGUGUUUUGGCUGAUGAAUCAUCAAGUGAAGAGGAGGAUGCAGAUGUUUGCAAAGACCCGUCAUCAGGUGGCAGGAAGCUGGGCACUCAGCAGAUCCUUGUGCUUAUUCAAAUAGCCCCUUCAUGAAUGUGACGUUACCGCAAGACAGGUGCAGUGCGCAAAUUCCUUGCGCGCUUUGUCACGUAACUCUUUGUGACGCCAUUUCUUAUAAACGCCAAGUUGCCUAUUCAACUUCAUUCUCGGUUGAGCAACCUUAUCUCGCUGACAUACGCAUUUUGUUCUCCGUGCAAUAUGAAUCCUAACCUGAUAAUGCAAAUCAAGAGAUACUAUCGGCCAUCAGAUCGUUGGCUAACUCGAUAGACAGUAAAGUAGAUUCAGCCUUUAAGAGGCAGCGUACCCUUGCCGACAGUCCACCAGACUUUAAAAGCGACGGUAACAAGGACCAGUUUCGCCACGAAGAAAAGCUCUCCAGCCUAAUUGACUCGGCCUUAGCAUCGUUAGACGCCGGAGACGUCAACGCAGCCAGAGAGGCCCUCAAGCAAGCCAGCACAGAAAUCAAACAGCGGCAGAAGCUGAUCAGGUUGGCCGAUCGUUCUUCCCAAGGUUGGGCCACGGUUAAAGAAUACGUCACCGACAAUUAAGCCGACGACUCGGACGAUGAGAAACGACUUAGAAAGGCGGAGAAAAUGGCGACCAGCAAGAAAUCAGAAGCCGCUAAGAAGUCCAAGGCCAAGGCUCGCAAUCCUGUACGUCCUUACCCUGCUGCGAGUUCUUUUCGUACCUACAGCCGGUACACAUAUCGUCAAGAUUUCCGGUCCUGUUUCCAGUGCGGAAUCGCAGGACAUAUCCGAUCCAACUGCCCCUCUCUUCGGGCCCUCCAACAGCCUCAGCGCCGGUCACAACCUUCAGCCACUGAUACCACCACAGCAUAGGGACUGGGAAGAGCAGGUCUCAACUACUCCUGUCCCAUCCGGUGUAAAGGGUGUUUUGGCUGAUGAAUCAUCAAGUGAAGAGGAGGAUGCAGAUAUUGCAAAGACCCGUCAUCAGGUGGCAGGAAGCUGGGCGCCCAGCAGUGCGUCUGAAAAUACGUAAGCCAUGGACAGGAGAAGAGAAACAGGCGAUCUACCAGCACCUCGGGGGACACAUACGGAAAAAUCAACUGCCAGAUGAGCUCAACAAGGCACCGAAGGGCAGGCUAGAAUAUACGAGAAGCGGCAAGCAUGCCUUUUUUGUGGCAGUAUGGUUUCCAAGGCAGCCAGGCACAUGAAAGAUAUGCACGCUGAUGAGUCUGAGGUAAAACAUGCCAAGGCCAAGGAGCCCAAGUCAACUAACAGGCGACCUACUGUUGAAUUUGAGAGGCUCCGUUUGAAAGGGAAUUUCUACCAUAAUAUGGAGGUGCUGUCAACUGGUGUGGGUCAGAUCAUCGUUGCCAGAAAUCCUCCCUUCGGUCAAGAGGUCCAAUCUUCAGAUAACCUGCCAUGCCCAUUUUGCAUGUUCCGUCGGCAAUGGUCCAUCAUCAGAUAUCCAUGGUGGUAAGGGGUGACAAGUUAAUACUGGCCUUCGGUAGGAAUCUGAUUGCAAAGGUUUGACCUGGGAAAGCUCAACUCGACCUGGUACAGAUAAGGGGAAAGAGAGGUCGCGCAGUGCCUGUGCUUCUGACCAGUGGAAGUCUUGAUGGAAAACCGUGAAGCAGUUGGGGCGCAUAAUGCGAAUCCCUAUAUAUUUGCUCGCCCCCGAAACUCCUUGAAACAAGUGAGAGGAUGGGAUUGCCUAACUGCUGUUGCCAAGCAGGCUAAUCUGCAAGAGCCUCCUGCAGAAACGAGCACAAAGCUGAGAAAGUAUGUUGCAACGGUGUCUCAGAUUAUAGACCUAAACAGCAAUGCGCUCGACUGGCUAGCAAGGCACCUGUGCCACGACAUAACUGUCCACAGGGACUUCUACCGCCAACACGAGUCGACACUAGAGCUUGCGAAAGUCAGCAAGCUACUUCUUGCUGAAGACAAAGGCAAGAUAGCAAAACUGUCUGGCCGAAAACUUGAUGAUAUUGAUUUGGAAGGUGUUUUGGCUGAUGAAUCAUCAAGUGAAGAGGAGGAUGCAGAUGUUUGCAAAGACCCGUCAUCAGGUGGCAGGAAGCUGGGCACCCAGCAGAUCCUUGUGCUUAUUCAAAUAGCCCCUUCAUGAAUGUGACGUUACCGCAAGACAGGUGCAGUGCGCAAAUUCCUUGCGCGCUUUGUCACGUAACUCUUUGUGACGCCAUUUCUUAUAAACGCCAAGUUGCCUAUUCAACUUCAUUCUCGGUUGAGCAACCUUAUCUCGCUGACAUACGCAUUUUGUUCGUGCAAUAUGAAUCCUAACCUGAUAAUGCAAAUCAAGAGAUACCUAUCGGCCAUCAGAUCGUUGGCUAACUCGAUAGACAGUAAAGUAGAUUCAGCCUUUAAGAGGCAGCGUACCCUUGCUGGCAGUCCACCAGACUUUAAAAGCGACGGUAACAAGGACCAGUUUCGCCACGAAGAAAAGCUCUCCAGCCUAAUUGACUCGGCCUUAGCAUCGUUAGACGCCGGAGACGUCAACGCAGCCAGAGAGGCCCUCAAGCAAGCCAGCACAGAAAUCAAACAGCGGCAGAAGCUGAUCAGGUUGGCCGAUCGUUCUUCCCAAGGUUGGGCCACGGUUAAAGAAUACGUCACCGACAAUUAAGCCGACGACUCGGACGAUGAGAAACGACUCAGAAAGGCGGAGAAAAUGGCGACCAGCAAGAAAUCAGAAGCCGCUAAGAAGUCCAAGGCCAAGGCUCGCAAUCCUGUACGUCCUUACCCUGCUGCGAGUUCUUUUCGUACCUACAGCCGGUACACAUAUCGUCAAGAUUUCCGGUCCUGUUUCCAGUGCGGAAUCGCAGGACAUAUCCGAUCCAACUGCCCCUCUCUUCGGGCCCUCCGACAGCCUCAGCGCCGGUCACAACCUUCAGCCACUGAUACCACCACAGCAUAGGGACUGGGAAGAGCAGGACUCAACUACUCCUGUCCCAUCCGGUGUAAAGGGUGUUUGGCUGAUGAAUCAUCAAGUGAAGAGGAGGAUGCAGAUGUUUGCAAAGACCCGUCAUCAGGUGGCAGGAAGUCGCGGCCCCAGCAGUGCGUCUGAAAAUACGUAAGCCAUGGACAGGAGAAGAGAAACAGGCGAUCUACCAGCACCUCGGGGGACACAUACGGAAAAAUCAACUGCCAGGUAAAGCAGUCUGCGAAAGUGUGAUAGCAGCACAUCCCCGAACAUCCCCGAGAUUUUUUUUUUAAUUUUUUUUUUUAUACACUUUCCAAUGGCCUCCUGUGAAUGUGAUAAAAUCUGAUGCCCCAGUAUGAGUUUUCUUUUACUUUGUGGAUCAUUCAUAAGAGAAGAAUGAGUAGUUACUGGUCUUUUUAAGUCUCCAGUUGGAGGUUUAGUGAUUUGUGACAAGAAACUUGAUAGGUUUAUGCUUUUUCGAUCAGUCUUAAGAGAGGAAUUUUUUAAGUAGUGCCUGAUCUCUCUUAGUCUGCAGAUGGAGAUUUAUGUAGGUGCGACAACUCCGAUACCCCCAGAACAUGAGUUUUCUUUUACUUUUGGAUCAUUCAUAAGAGAAGAACAAGUAGUAUGGUCUAUCUAAUUCUGUGAUUGGUUUAUUGGAAGUAGCUAACUGCCUUGUCCCUACAUUUAAGUCUAUAGUUGAAGUUUCAACUAAUAUCUGAUAGCCAGGAAUGUGAUAUCUUUUUUGGGACCUUUUGAUCACUCAUCAUAAGAGAAGAACCUGAGGAGUAGCUAAUGGCCUGCUGAGUCUGCUCUUGAAGGUUAUUAUUGAUUAAUGACAGAAAUCUUGAAUGCCCAGAACUUGAUUUGCUUUUUGACUGUUUGGAUCAAUCAUAAGAGAGUAGUGCUUCUUGUUCCCUCUAAUUCUUCGGUUUGAGAUUAAGUGAUGUGUGAUCUAUCUGAUUCCCCAGAACAUGAGUUUUCAUAAAAGAAAAAUAUUCCGCUUGGAAGUCUUUUGAUUUGUGACAUGUUUUGAUGGCCCAGAACUUGAAUUUGUCAUUUCUUUUAUAUCAUAAAUACGAGAAGAAACGUAUUGUUAGGUAACAGUUUUGUCUCUACAUGUAAGUUUAUUGUUCUAUAGUUGGCGUUCAACUGAUAGCUUAGAAAUCUGAUAGCCAGGGACAUGAUUGGUUUUGGACUUUUUGGAUCAAUCUUAGGAGAACCGUAUGAGUAGCUAAUAACCUGUUAAGUAUGUAGUUGGAGGUUUAGUGAAUUGUGAUACAAAUUUUAAUAACCCAGAGCUUGAUUUGCUUUGUGCCUGUUUCAACCAAUCAUAAGAGAGGAAUCUUAUGAGUAGUGCCUGGUGUUCUAAGACUGCAGUUGGAGAUUUAGUGAUGUGUGACAAAUAUCCUGAUACAUAAUAGCCAAGAACAUGAUUCACUUACACUUUAUCAAUCACAAGAGAAGAAUGAGUAGUUGUUGUCAUUUUCUCCAAGUAAUUUGGGUGAUAUGUGAAAGAUCUCAUUAUAGCCCAAAACUUGAUUUCUUUCUUUUUUGCAGUACUCGGACGUAUUUGAGUAGGGCUGUGAAAUUGUUUGAGAUAUUUGUUAAUAACUAUUGUUGCAGAUUUUUCUUUGAAUUGCUCAUAAACGAAAUAUCUUCAAUUUAACGCCUGGUUCAUUCGAUUUAGGUUGAAAUUGAAGAUCACGCAGAUCGGCAUUCGACAAUCAAAAUGAUUCAUUCUAUUUCACUAUACAAGCAUUCUAACGCAUUUUAGCUUCACUCGUCCCUAUCAAAGAUGCAUUCAUAUUAAAAGUAUCGAGUUGUUCAUUCAAUUCAAGAUGAUCGGGCAUUCGUUUUCAUUAAUGGGCAAAUAUAUUUCACAUUUUGUCAAACAUCUUUUAAGACUUCAUACGUGUCUGUAUUCCUAAGCUUAAAUCAUUUGAUGACUUCAAACCGUAGACUGACUUUCUUU